GUAGAACGCUGAGGCUUGGUGCUUGCACCGAGCGGAUGAGUUGCGAACGGGUGAGUAACGCGUAGGUAACCUGCCUCUUAGCGGGGGAUAACUAUUGGAAACGAUAGCUAAUACCGCAUAAAAGUCGACAUCGCAUGGUGUUGACUUGAAAGGUGCAAUUGCAUCACUAAGAGAUGGACCUGCGUUGUAUUAGCUAGUUGGUGAGGUAACGGCUCACCAAGGCGACGAUACAUAGCCGACCUGAGAGGGUGAUCGGCCACACUGGGACUGAGACACGGCCCAGACUCCUACGGGAGGCAGCAGUAGGGAAUCUUCGGCAAUGGGGGCAACCCUGACCGAGCAACGCCGCGUGAGUGAAGAAGGUUUUCGGAUCGUAAAGCUCUGUUGUAAGAGAAGAACGAGUGUGAGAGUGGAAAGUUCACACUGUGACGGUAACUUACCAGAAAGGGACGGCUAAUUACGUGCCAGCAGCCGCGGUAAUACGUAGGUCCCGAGCGUUAUCCGGAUUUAUUGGGCGUAAAGCGAGCGCAGGCGGUUAGAUAAGUCUGAAGUUAAAGGCUGUGGCUUAACCAUAGUACGCUUUGGAAACUGUUUAACUUGAGUGCAGAAGGGGAGAGUGGAAUUCCAUGUGUAGCGGUGAAAUGCGUAGAUAUAUGGAGGAA
rnacentral:rRNA from 1 species